UUACGGCCACAUCACGUUGAAACACUGGCUUCCGUACUAUCACCGAAGUUAAGCAAGGUCGAGUCUGGUCACUACCUAGAUGAAUAACCGCUUGGAAAUACCAGGUGUUGUAAG